AGUGGAGGAGAUAUCCUUGCUGAUGGCAAAAACUGCUUUUUCUUUUUGGGACGGAAUCUUGCUCUGUCGCUCGGGUUGGAGUGCAGUGGCGCCAUCUCAGCUCACCAAAACCUCCACCUCCUGAGUUCAAGUAAUUCUCUGCCUCAGCCUCACGAGUAGCUGACAGGCGCCCACCUCCACGCCCGGCUAAUUUUUGUAUUUUUAGUAGAGAUGGGGUUUCACCAUCUUGGCCAGGCUGGUGGAUCACUUGAGGCCAGGAGUACGAGAUCAGACUGGCCAAGAUGGUGAAACCCCAUCUCUACUAAAAAUACAAAAAUUAGCCGGGCAUGGUGGCACAUGCCUAUAGUCCCAGCUACUUGGGAGGCUGAGGCACAAGAAUUGCUUGAACCCAGGAGGCAGAGGUUGAGGUUGCAAUGAGCCAAAAUCACACCACUGUACACUCCAGCCUGGGUGACAGAGUGAGACUCUGUCUUUAAAAAAAAAAAAAAAGGAACAUUAACUGCAAUAUUCUUGAUGAUGCAAAUUUUUAAAAACUAAAUCCAGCCAGAUUUUUCAGCCUUAAAAACUAAGAUCCAAACUAUUCAACAUCUCUACAAAUUAUAUACUCAUUGAAUUCAGGAACAAUAACAGAAUU
rnacentral:lncRNA from 10 species